UACGAAGGGGGCUAGCGUUGCUCGGAAUUACUGGGCGUAAAGCGCACGCAGGCGGUUCGCCAAGUUUGGUGUGACAGUUGUCGGCUCAACCGACAAAGGACUUCAAAAACUGGUGAACUUGAGGACGAGAGAGGAACAUGGAACUCCAGGUGUAGUAGUGAAAUGCGUAGAUAUCUGGAAGAACACCAAUGGCGAAGGCAAUGUUCUGGCUCGUUUCUGACGCUCAGGUGCGAAAGCCAGGGGAGCGAACGGG
rnacentral:rRNA from 1 species